UACGGAGGGGGCAAGCGUUGUUCGGAGUUACUGGGCGUAAAGCGCGCGUAGGCGGCUUUGUAAGUCCGAGGUGGAAUUCCACAGCUUAACUGUGGAACUGCCUUUGAUACUGCAAGGCUUGAGUCAGGUAGAGGAGGGCGGAAUUCCCGGUGUAGCGGUGAAAUGCGUAGAUAUCGGGAGGAAGGCCGGUGGCGAAGGCGGCCCCCUGGACGAAGACUGACGCUCAGGUGCGAAAGCGUGGGGAGCAAACAGG
rnacentral:rRNA from 1 species